AUGCCCCGACAACGUUGGCACCAGCAUGCGACUUCUGGUUGCUGCGCUACACUUCAGUUUUGGAAGAUGGCAGACUUGUGGUCUGUGAGAGAUCUAUUAGCAGCACUCAGGGUGGUCCAAGCAUGCAACCCGUGCAUCCUUUUGUGAGAGCAGAAAUGCUGCCGAGUGGGUACCUCAUAAGGCCUUAUGAAGGAGGCGGGUCAAUGAUACACAUUGUUGAUCAUAUGGAUUUGGAGCCAUGGAGUGUACCUGAAGUGUUACGCCCACUCUAUGAAUCAUCUACGGUGCUUGCUCAGAAGAUGACAAUGGCAGUUAGAACCAAUCUUCCAUUUCCUAAAAUUUGAAAAUUUCCUCUCACCAUGGG